UCCGCUUCAGCUCUCUUACGAUCCAACUCUCUCCUCUCACCGUUGUUCGAAGAGAACGUCGCUGCUCUCUCUUCUCUUUCUAUUACCGUCUGACGUUAGAUCUGUUACUACCUGUCCAAACAACCAUAAUCUGGAGCAAUUUCUCAACAUAAGCUACUUUCUUAGUUCAUCUGAAGAAAGGAGGAUGAACCUGCUCUUGUUUCUAAGCUUCUAGAUAAAUUAAUGAGUGACAAAUAUGGGGAGGCGAAGCAGCUUUUGGACUUGCAUGGGUUGUUAAGGGUUUCAAAACACUUUCCCAAAUGUACUAAUCUGUUGUUUAUGGUGGUUGAUUACACUGUUGUUUGAAGGUUAAGGGAAUCAACCACCAUGUUGUGAUAAAGUUAGCUUGGAUGAAUGAGAAGACUGCAUUGCAUUUGGAGGUUGUUCAAACUGGAGAGAUUGUGAACUUGUGAGUGAAUAUUGAUAUGAAGGGAGCUUUAUAUAGAGGCUGAAAUUUGUGUUUCAAUUUUGAAUAUUGUCUUGGAACUAUGAAGGUUGCUAGAAACGUUUCAAUACCCAAGAUUACAUUCAACAUAUUGUUUUUCGAAGCAUUUUAUGUAUGCGUAUAUCUGUAUCUGUAUAUAUCAGUAUAUAUAUGUAAAUAAAUGUAGAUUAUAGGUUGGUUUCUCAAUGUAAUUAGAAGUCUUUCAUUAUUAGAAGUGUAUUCAUUUACAUUGGUAAUACCAAUCUUAGCCGGCAAUAUCCCAUUGAAAAGUGUAAAGUAAUGUAAACACAAUUAAUUAGACUGAUUGAGUUAUCUUACCAUUGAAACGACGCAGUAUAGUCUAGGCGGAAAAGUGUUUUAGGUAGAAAGUUACUGCUUUAUUAUAAUGAUAGAUAGAUAUUUUGUCAUGUUCGUGGCCACACACAGCUUGCUGGUGCCUUUUAUGGACAUAAAGUGAGUGGAAAUCACACAUUGUAUCACACAUGGAUAACUCGAAAAAGGCCAAGAAGGAAACCAAGAAGAAGGAACUUUCAAAUUGAAUUCAAGAAACCAAGAAGGAAAUCUUGAUGCUGAUUAUGUAGUUAUAUAUGUGCAUAUAGUACUUUCAAAUCGAAUUCAAGAAACCAAUUAUAUGAACCUUGUUAGUUGCAAAGUGAUAUUGAGCAUAGCAGUUCUA